rnacentral:rRNA from 1 species
UACGUAGGGUGCAAGCGUUAAUCGGAAUUACUGGGCGUAAAGCGUGCGCAGGCGGUUUUGUAAGUCUGACGUGAAAUCCCCGGGCUUAACCUGGGAAUUGCGUUGGAGACUGCAAGGCUGGAGUCUGGCAGAGGGGGGUAGAAUUCCACGUGUAGCAGUGAAAUGCGUAGAGGUGUGGAGGAACACCGAUGGCGAAGGCAGCCCCCUGGGUCAAGACUGACGCUCAUGCACGAAAGCGUGGGGAGCAAACAGG